ACUGUCACAGAGCUGGAAAUUUUUGGAUCCUUUUAGUUCAUCUGAUUUAGGUUAUAAAUUAUGAUGGUUGUUCCUUCUUACCCCCAACCUGACAACUAUUAACAUGAUGUACACUCAUUUUAAAAUAGUUUUGCAGUCUGUUUUCUCUAUUGAGUGGCUACAUUGUGUUAUUAAAUGUGUAUAUUUAUAUCGAAUACAGAUGUUCAAUAAUAUAUCUGUAAUGUACAUAUGUGUUGCUAAAUGUAGAUACAGAAGAAACUAUAUGGAGUCUGAUAAUUAAAUGAUUAUUAAAUGAUACUUGUAAUGAAAGUCUGCCCCAAAAAGUGACCAGAUUUUUAUUGGGGUUGCUGUGUAUCUCCAGGAAGAAGAGGAGGGGUCAGAAGACGAUAGCAAUGUGAAGCCAGACUUCAUGGUCACUCUGAAAACCGAUUUCAGUGCACGAUGCUUUCUGGACCAAUUCGAAGAUGACGCUGAUGGAUUUAUUUCCCCAAUGGAUGAUAAAAUACCAUCAAAAUGCAGCCAGGACACAGGGCUUUCAAAUCUCCAUGCUGCCUCAAUACCUGAACUCCUGGAACACCUCCAGGAAAUGAGAGAAGAAAAGAAAAGGAUUCGAAAGAAACUUCGG
rnacentral:sRNA from 1 species